rnacentral:lncRNA from 1 species
CACUGUGAGCUCAGGGAGAACGUGAUCUCUGUUUCAGUCAUGUGUGGACAUCAGUGUCCAGCUCAUCUCCUGAAAAAGGGCAGGAGAUUAAAAAGUGAUUAUUGUCUGAAUAAUUGUUAGCCUCAAAACAAUAUUCUAAGUUUAUUAUCAUUCAGGGAUCUAAUGCUUUCUAACAUAAAAAAUGCCAGAGUAAGUAAGUGUCUAUAGUAUUUCUCCUCUAAAUUCCUUUUACCAAAGCAAUGCAAGCACUUCUUAGAAGUAAACACUGUUUAAAACUGUAGCAAAGUUUAUUUAUGCACUUGUAACAGGUUUAUUAUAGAAUACAAAUAUUUGCCCUGUAAAUGGUUUUAGCGUGAACCAACAACAGCAAAAAUGUAAACUUGGCGAGUUCUUUGCUUUAAAUUUCAAUGUGAAUAUGUUUACAAAAGAUUCAGGACACUUAAUGAAGAGACUUAACAAUAAUAAAAACAUAAGGAGAGCUAUCAGAGAUAAUGCCAGUAGUCACACUCUUUCCCCAAUAGAGUGACCAUGUUCUCAGUGUUUUUUAUUUUAAAUGUAAAUCAAAACCUCAGAAAGUCUUUCUGAUCAACUUAAUUUAUAGUUAAAAGGAGCAAGAAAUGUAAAACAAAAGACAAUUGUUGUCUUUGGUUAUUCUGUACAAUCUCAAACACAAAUUAACAUUUGGAGCUUGAUUAAAUAAAUGAAUAUCUUUUUCCUGGUUAGCAAACCUUUGGUAGUCUAGGAUUAGAAUGGAAUAAGGUCAGGAGUGAUUGUCUGACUCUGGGUCCAGCCCCCACCCAAUCUUGUUCUUUCUUUCUUUCUUUCUUUCUUUCUUUCUUUCUUUCUUUCUUUCUUUCUUCUUUCUUUUUUCUUCUUCUUCCUCCUCUUCUUCUUCUCCUUCUUCUUCUCCUUCUUCUUCUUUUUUUUAAAGUAAUCUCUACACCCAACAUGGGGCUUGAACUUACAACCCAGAGAUCAAGAGACACAUGCUCUAUUGACUAAGCCAGCCAGGUACCCCUCUUCUUUGUUUUAAACAAAAUAGUUUUGAUUGGCCUUUCUUAAUCCUGUAUUUUUAGAGUUGAUGAUUUUCAUAUAACUCAGAGAUGAGUUUAAAUGCAGAAUAUAUGAACUUUCUUAUUCCUGAGGGAGAACUAUGAUUCUGUGAAAAUCCCAAAAGGAGCCACGGAGACUGAUGGAGACUAAGGGUUUAGAAAGCAAGCAUGACCUCCAGGCUGUGCUCUGUGUGAGUUGCCUGGAUUCCUUUGAUCAUGUGAUCCUGGACAAGUUUCACGAGCUCCAUAACCUUAAUUUGAAACUCCAUAAAAUGAAGAAAGUGCUAUGUGUCUUCAAUUCUAAGACAUCAUCAAUUGUUAAGAUGCGCCAUUAAUUUAUACAUGACAAAGAAAGCACAGUUCAAUGACUUGUCAUUGAUACAUACUAAUUUCAGACAUGUUAGACCAUUGAUACAGGUAGGGAGAGUGUAUAUUCAAAUCCUAGAAAUGUAGUCAAGAUAGGUACCUUCUAGAAUUGCGAGGAUUUAAUGAGCAAAUGCAUGUAAAUGGUUGGCACAGCUCGGAAUGUGUUGUGCCCAGUAAAUAUUAGCUAUUGAUAUCACUCAUAGUAUCCUUAAUUUGAGUAAUGACUUAUCUUUGGGAUAGCCUCCAGCUGGGCUGAAACCAAUCUGACUCACUGGCAAAGAGGCAGAAGGACAGAAGAUUGAAAUGUAGGCCACAUAGAAUGGGGACUGAUUUCAUUUCUCUUGAGUCUAAGCUCUUUUGCAGCCAUACAUGCAUCCACUCAUGACUAUGGGAAUACUCACAAGGUUUAACUAUAAAGUAAUUCUUAUGUCAAGUUUCUAUCAAUGCUAAUAUUUUUGCUGGACACUUUUUUUUUCCUUUCCACUUGUCAUUUCCUAAAGCCUUCAAUUUAAAUAUCUUUCAUGGUGACAGAUAAUCAAAUUUUAAAAAUGUUAUUGUGAUUUUUACAUAGACCCCAAGUUAUUCAAAAACAAAAGUAAUGAAUAGAAGACUGGAAUUAAUCUAGCAUUAUAAAAAUAACCAAGUGGUUAUAACAGAAAACAAUAACAAACCCCAUACCCCCUCCCCGGCCCUCAGCUUUGUGCUUGAUUAAAAUAAGAGAAAUCUCCCAAUUAAUGCAGCUAAUUUUUUUUAAAUUUUUUUAACGUUUAUUUAUUUUUGAGACAGAGAGAGACAGAGCAUGAAUGGGGGAGGGUCAGAGAGAGAAGGAGACACAGAAUCCAAAACAGGCUCCAGGCUCUGAGUCAUCAGCCCAGAGCCCAACACGGACUCGAACUCAUGGACCGCGAGAUCAUGACCUGAGCCAAAGUCAGACGCUUAACCGACUGAGCCACCCAGGCGCCCCUGGAGCUAAUUUUUUUAAUAGCUCAUACUUUGUAUUAAAAAGAAAAAACUCCCUAGAUUCAGAGUUGAAUACAUGUAAAUAUAGUGAAUGUUUAUAUACAUAGAAUAUAUAUAUAUAUUAUAUAUAUAUAUUGAAUAUAUAUAGGACAAAGAUAAAUUUAUUGUAUUUAUUACAUUUUAAUCAAACAUAAUGUUAUAUAUUACCUGUCUUUUUAUAUAUAACAAUAUUAAGAAAAUCCAUCUAUGAAAUUUCAAGUUUCCUGGAAAUUGCAGUACUUGGAUUCAGGUUCUGUCUCUUAAUUAUGUUUUUUAGCCUUUCUGAGGUUUGGCCCUAAAGGUCUCUAUAUCCAACUUUAAAAUUCAAACAGGUGUAAAGUGAGAAAAUAUUGUUUAUCCACAUAGGUGGCCCGUGGCCAGGUUUACAUAGAAUUUAUUUAAUGUUUUUGUCCAAAUAAGGUCUUAGGUUUUAAAGCUUCACUUUGUGGGUGGGUGCUCUUUAUUCCAGCUAAGAGAGCCUCUUCCCCAAUUUGCUCAGUGUUCGUGCAGGUAACACAUGUGCCUGAGGUUUUAAGAACCCCAGCUCAAGAAGAGAAAUGAACACUCCACACCCCCACCCCCACUUACUUGCCAAAUUUACUCUUUCGUUUAUUCCAAAUUGAAAUGUUGCUCAGUGGUCUCAAAGUUUUUACCCUGGUAUUUUUGAAAUGCCUUCCUUUUGCCCAGAAUUGCUGUAAUCUUGGGGUUCCAGUCCACGCUUGGCAUUUCUCUUCUUAAAGCAUUUAACAGUUUCAUGGGUAAAUGGUGUUCUCUUUGAUCCAGUGCCAUUUGCUUUGGUGAAACCUCACGGACCACCCUCCUUAUCAGAGUCGCACACAGAGGGCCCUGCUUCUGGGUCUGUAAACUGGCUUUCUGAGCUGCUGAACGUGUCAGUUCUGUGGGCCCCCUCUCAGAUGUCACAGGCACUCGCUGUGUCUGACAGAGACCUUUCUGCAAGUACAUUUGUGGGUCUGCCCUGUAAAGUCAUUAUCGUUCGCAGAUUAUUGCACAGAGUGGCUACGAGCUGUGGUGUGAUCCUGUCAUAUAGAGAUUGGUCACGUUUUCAGAGCACCAGGAAAGAGAUACCUGUAAGCUUAAUACUUAGAUUUAAGAAAAAAAAAUCCAUUUAAAAAUGUAUCAUUAUUUCCCCUGAUAGCUUAACAAACAUUUAGAAAGUUUCAUAAAAUCACUCUCUGAGUUUCCUGUGACAUGAUAUAAAAAGUCAAUAUCUGAUAGCUUAAAAAUCAAUAUUGACAGAAACACAAGUAUUUAAAAUAGAAACACAGAUCGCACAACAAUUUUUUUAAUGAUAUGAAAUAUUUGAAUAUUUUUUAAACUCCUUGGAACAGAGAUGCACUUAACAUGUGGUAAGUAUUAGAUAUUGAAACUCACAAAUUGCUUUGGUGCCAUUCCUUUUAUAUCUUGGCCAUGUUUUUAAAUGUUUCUUUAUUUAUUUUGAGUGAGAGAGAGAGAGAGGCAGAGAGAGAGGGAGGGAAAGAGAGAAAGGAUCCCAAGCAGGUUCCACACUCAGCAAGGAGCCCAAUGUGGGGCUUGAACUCAAGAACUGUGAGAUCAUGACCUGAGCUGAAAUCAAGAGUCGGACACUUAACCACCUGAGCCACCCAGACGCCCCUUAGCCAUUUUAAAAAUUUAAAGAAUCAUCUGCAUCUCCUUACAGGUUUAAACUAGGAAAGGCCUCCAAGUCUUACAAAGUGGCCCCCCUCUUCUUUUUUCAAGAAGUGUAUAGAGUUACAAGGUGGGUCUUCUCUUAGGUCAUGUAGAAGCUUCUUAGAUAUGAUUUAAAUCCAUUUUUAAAAAAUCACUUUAAAUCUUUAUAUCUGGUUGUACUAUUGUCUUUUUCUCUUAUCUCCACUGUAGUCAGCUACCUACUUUUUUUAAAUAUAUGAACCGUCAAACCUAUGAACAUGCCGCCAAACCAAACCAUAAUCUAUGAAGUGUGGUUUUCUUUUCUUUUUUUUUUUUAAUUUUUUUUUUUUAUUUUUUUUAAUUUUUUUUUUUUAUUUUUUUUUAAUUUUUUUUUUCAACGUUUAUUUAUUUUUGGGACAGAGAGAGACAGAGCAUGAACGGGGGAGGGGCAGAGAGAGAGGGAGACACAGAAUCGGAAACAGGCUCCAGGCUCCGAGCCAUCAGCCCAGAGCCUGACGCGGGGCUCGAACUCACGGACCGCGAGAUCGUGACCUGGCUGAAGUCGGACGCUUAACCGACUGCACCACCCAGGUGCCCCAUGAAGUGCGGUUUUCUUUAUAUCACUUCCCAUUCUCUCAUUUGUAUGGUUUCCCUUAGUUAUCAGCUGUCUUUGCUUUUCUCUUAAUCACAUUGCUCUGAUUCCAUUAUUUAUUUUGUCCUAAGAAUGUUGGUAGUGUCCAUUGUCUUUCUACGCCAUUACUUUCUGAGGAUAAAUCACCAUUCUUUGACACGUUAGUACCAGCAGCUUUCCAGUACAUUUCCACACAACUUAUACCCUGCUCAUUCCACUUACACAUGUCUGUUGUCCUCAUAUAUUUUGUUCUUAACAUUGCCCUACUGUUCUCAGGGGCUCUGUGCUUUAUAAUCGUUAGGUAUUCCUUCCCUUCAAAUAGAACAAAUCAACAACUAACACUUUUCCCCCCUUCCUUAGCUCUUAUCCAGUCAUUUCCAAUUAUAUAUGCAUUUCCUUCUAUAUUUCUAACUUCUUAGGAUUUCUCAACAUCUAUUUGCAUUGUUCUCUUUUGAAUUCAAGCUUAUUUGCAAAAGUUUCCUUCCAAGCAGGCCUAUGAGUUAUUUCCCAUUUUCUGAAUGCAAUUGCCAUCUAUUUGCCACCCCACCAAUGUUAUUUUGCUAUCUUGUCCCUCUCUGCUUCCUGUUCUUUGAAAAGAGUCAAUUCCCCCCUCAUAAUUUUGAGUAGGAAUGUUGAAACACCUCUUUCCACCAUGCCCUUUCCCUCUCCUUAUUCAAAUGGAAGCAACAAGAAUGAAAAGUCAUGUAAAGGAAAGCUAUGAACUCAUUAUGCACAUUUUGCUUUCCUGGGAUGAAAAAUCACUAGAAAUCUUUAAAAUCUAUUUACUCUGUCAUUCCAGAAGGCACUAAAACUUCUUAAGACGCUACACACCUAUUUACUUGAAACUGAAGAUAAAUUUGUAUGUAUAACGAUAUGCAUAUAGAUAAAUGUGAAAUAAGCUAAAUGGAAAAAUAAAGAAAAUUUAAAAUUCCAUCUAAAUAAGACUUGCCAUGUGGUUGGCAGGCAGAAUAUUUCUUCCAUGAGGUUUUUUUUAAGCAUGAAUGUAUGUAGACCACAUGUCUUUUCUUUAUCACUUGUGACUUAACAUCAUACAUGUUUAAAAAGUCUCCUUGUUCUGAAACAGAUGAUGUAUGACAAUAAAGGAGAGUUACACUAUAUAAAUGAGACUUUUUUGCCCAAAUACUAAAAGACAUUGAAAAUAAUUUACCUUUGCUUGUGUAUUAUUUGAUAUAAUACUUUGACAUACUAUCUCACAGGUUUUCACAAUUUUGUGAUGGAGUAGAGGUAGUUAUUAUUGUCUUCCUAAUGUUGUAGAUAAUACAAGAAACUCAAAGCCUAUGUGACUGUCCAGUGUCACAAAGAAGGUAACAGAGACAGAGGUCGAAGGUGGUCUGCUAUCGAUGAAGCCACAGCUUCCUUCACUCUGGAGCUAGUGUAAGAGGCUGGCCCUUUAGUUCAUGUUCAAGUUUUGUGAGGCUUUUUUAAAAUUUUUUUUUUCAACGUUUAUUUAUUUUUGGGACAGAGAGAGACAGAGCAUGAACGGGGGAGGGGCAGAGAGAGAGGGAGACACAGAAUCGGAAACAGGCUCCAGGCUCUGAGCCAUCAGCCCAGAGCCCGACGCGGGGCUCGAACUCGUGGACCGUGAGAUCGUGACCUGGCUGAAGUCGGACGCUUAACCGACUGCGCCACCCAGGCGCCCCUGUGAGGCUUUUUUAAAAAAUGUUUAUUUAUUCUGAGAGGGAGAGUGUAUUCACAUAGGAGCAAGUGGGGGAGGGGCAGAGAGAGGAGAAAGAGUAUCCCAAGCAGGCUCCAUGCUGUCAGCACAGAUCCCGACCCAGGGCUCGAUCUCAGGAAUCAUGAGAUCAUGACCUGAGUUGAGAUCAAGAGUCCAACACUUACCUGACUGAAUCACCCAGGCAGCCCACGUUUUGUGAGACUUUGUGAGGUAAGCUAAAGCUAUUCGUUUCUGAGAGCAGCAUGGGAUGCUGAGUAUCUGGAAGAUGAGAGAAGGAACAAGAGAUAGGACACACAUUCAGAACAGGAGGUGAAGAGGACAUAAAGGUCACCUCUGCAUAUUCUGUAGUUUUGCACAGAACCCCUCAGCAUCCCACCACCACAGAUAACACUGCCUUAAACCCAGCUGGCUGAAUUAAGAAAUCCAGACUCACUGAAAGACUAUAAAGCUUCACCUUUCCCUGGUUUGGGCAGAUACACAAAUGGGGAACUACAGCAACAUCAUCCUGAUUCAUGCUCAUAACAAAAGAGAAAUCCCUUCUUCAGCCCUGCCCAGAGUGUCCAACUAAUUUCUUCUCUUCUCUAGUGAAAAGCAAAGGGGCAGUUGUGCAUCCCUAAGUUCUGUCUUUUCUUUCUGAAUAGAAGUUUGUACAAGGAGACUCCUGUUCAAAAGAACCUUCAGAAGAAACAUCUAAGCAGAAUGCAGUGGUUUCACCUUGUUUCUCUGAGUUUCUGCCAUUCAGUGUCUACCCCCCUCCCUCUUCACUGUUUUUACCUUUGGGUCUUUCCGCUUUGUAUCUACAGCAGUCAUUCCUGGAGAACUUUAAUGGAGCUGUCCUGUUACCCCCUUCUUUAUUCUCUGGUUCUCCAUACUGAUUCUGCCAUUCCUCACCAUACUGGGAUGUAUUUUUUAGUGGCUAUUCCUCUCAUACCAAAACAUGUGCUCCUUUAGUGUCCACAUAAUUUUGAUAGGUUUGUUCUCUGCUCCCAAACUCUCUUCAGCAAAGUGUUCUUUCUGGCCUGUUUUAAUACACAUCUCUCUCCUUCCCAGUUACAUUUUCCUGACUAAAACUGUCAAGAGUCUCACUCUUCUGAUUUACAAUUUCACAGCAUUUCUUUAGUUGCUUUUGACAACCAUUUUAUUUCUGAAUAUUCUGGACACAGGACAUUUUUAUCUGUGACCUACUUAUAAUAGUACUGCAAAAUCAAGCCAAAAGUUCUCUUUCUUUUCCAGAAAUGUUUUCCAAAAUCAUCAUCUCUUACCCUUCCUUUAAAACUUGCCUCAUAGGUGCUCACUCAUGACCUUUAUCCAGCCAUGGAAAUGUCUUUCGGAAUUACACCAGGUUCCGGUACAACCAAAGUUGCUGCGUUCUUCCCCAUAUAGGUGUUGCAUGCCUCUUUUUUUUUCAGCCUUACCUGUAUUUCACAGAGUGGAAUUUCUUUCCCCCUUUGUGACACUAAAUGACUCCUUAUUUCCCUUUGUUUAUCUCCUUUCUUUCUGAGGCUUCAGAGAAAUCAACCUAGCCAGCAGUAGCAUUUAUUCAGCACCUACUGUAUGCAAGGCACGGUUCUCAGUGUGGAGAAGAAACAAAGAUGUAAGGCAUAGUCUUGCCUUCUGGAAAAUUAUAAUCUAGUUGUGGUACAACAAGCCUCGUGAUGCACUAAGUAGAAUAAUGAAUUGGAAAUACAGACCUUAGGGGCCAUUCCAGUUGUGUCCCUAAGUUAAUUUUGAGGCCUUGACGAAGAUUUGCUUCUUCUGUAUAACCUACUCACCAUCCCAGUAAUAGAGGAUUUGUGAGUCUGACCUGGGUUCAAAAGAAUUGAAGUGCACCUGGGAAUUGUUCAACAAAAUAAAAGUGGAAAUAAGAUUAGUGGGAUCAUAUUUAAAAGCAUAAAUAAUCUUAAAUCUCACUAAAUCGCUCCUGAUUAAUUUUAAGUGUCUUGUUUAUUCAUUUAAAUCAGAUCCUGAAGGACUGUCUAUAGUUUAUUAUAAAUAUAUGUACAUGUGAAAUAACCAUAUUAGAACCUAUAUGAAUGUGUUAUUGCAUGUAUACUUAUUUCUACAUUUAAAAGUAAUGAGCAGGGCUUUGUUCUUUAAAAUUGAUUAUUCAGAGCACUAGCUUUCUCCCAGGCGGUGGGAGAUUUUGUUACCUCACAUCUGGUUUAUGCCUGGAAGUCAUCUGAGUAUUGAUGAGAAGGGGAACCACAACCACUCAACCACUGUCUGAGGUUGGAGACCAGGUUAGGGCCAGGGCUAGGCAUAGCCCCACAACAGGAUUCCUGAGCAAUAAUCAGCCAGCGUGACCCCAGGCAAACUUCUGUAUAACGGCUGCAGGGCUUAUCAGUCCUCCUGGCCUCCACCCUCUCCUGAAGGAGGUGCUGUGGGCAGCUGGAGGGAGGCUGGGGACCCCAGGCCGGGAAGCGUGGAGGCACUGACUGCACUUACCCUGUGUGUUCUCAUCCCCUGGACCUCCUCAGGGCAGAAAUCAGCCCUGGCUGCUCCUCUCAACGUUGGCUCUCCUUGACUGGGUAUGUAUGCCCUUGUCCAGAACCUUCCGAGGCUCCUGUUGCUGGCCCUGUGCCCAAGAGCAGUGGGAGGUGCACCGGCCAGCCUGGUGGGAAGACGGGGCAGACGUGCGCCUCCCUUUCAGCCCUGGCUGCUCUAUUACUCACUGGGUGACAGAUGCAUUGUUCUCCCGGGAGGCCGGCAGCUGGACGCCCCCCUCGCCCGCCCCCUUCCUGCAGCCCGCGGGGCCGCGCAUCCCAGCCGGCUGCNNNNNNNNNNNNNNNNNNNNNNNNNNNNNNNNNNNNNNNNNNNNNNNNNNNNNNNNNNNNNNNNNNNNNNNNNNNNNNNNNNNNNNNNNNNNNNNNNNNNNNNNNNNNNNNNNNNNNNNNNNNNNNNNNNNNNNNNNNNNNNNNNNNNNNNNNNNNNNNNNNNNNNNNNNNNNNNNNNNNNNNNNNNNNNNNNNNNNNNNNNNNNNNNNNNNNNNNNNNNNNNNNNNNNNNNNNNNNNNNNNNNNNNNNNNNNNNNNNNNNNNGGCGGGAGCUAGUGAGCGAGCGGGUGUGGCCGCGGAUCCGGCUCAAGCCAGGGCUCCUGCAGUGCUUCUCCGGCCUGCGGGACUCGCUCUCUUCCUCCUCCUUGGCGGGUAAAGACAGACACCCCUGGAUUGUCUUCGGAAGUUUCCAGUUACCUCGUGUGUCCUACUGCAAGGAAACCACUGGCCCCACCAAAGUGGAAUCUGCAGUUUCAGCCAGGGAGGAGCUUUUCAGAGACGGACUCACGCUCACUUUCUCCGGGUGGGAAGGGAAGGACCCUGAGUGAAUGAAACUUAAUGAAUUUUUAAAAACGGAGGCUUAGUUUGUAUUAGGCAAAUGCAUUAGGCAUUUCCAAAUGCCUGCUGAAAUUUCUUCCUCCGGUCACUUAAAAUAAGACAUGUCAAAAAUUGAACUUAGGGUUUUCUCUCCUGUCCUUGGUCUCUCUGCUCAAGUUAUUUACUAUAUUAAUAGCAUUACCAUCCGUAGUCAUCCAGAUUUGUAGGCCUGAGGUCCUCUUGACUUUGCCCUCUACCAUGCUCCGGACGUCCUACAAGCUAUGAAAUCCCUUCUUUCUCUGCACCAGCUUUCACCAGCCUCUUUUCCUUGGUGUUUUCCGAACAAGAUUCUAGUUCAGGCAGCGAUGUCUCUUUCCCUCCUGGGCCGUAGUCAUGGUCUGCUAUCGCUGUGGUGGUACAUUCAAGGCUUUGCAAGACUGAUGCACCAACAUUAUUUGCCUCUUCUCUAUUUAAACUUCUUGUUUCAGUCAAAAUAACCCAUUAAUGGGGCACCUGAGUGGCUCAGUCGGUUGAGUGUCCAAGUCUUGGUUUCAGCUCAGGUCAAGAUCUCAGGUUCCUGAGUUCAAGCCCCAUGUCAGUCUCUGCACUGUUAGUGUGGAGGCCGCUUGGGAUAAUCUCUCUCCCUCGCUCUAUGCCCCUCCCCACUUGGACUGUCUCUGUGUCUCUUAAAAUAAGUAAAUAAACUUAAAAAAAAAAUCCCUGAAAAUGCCUCACGCCUUUUCUGCUUCUUUACCAUGUUUCCUAUUCAAAUACCUUUUACAUCUCUGUUGACACUCUGCCCAUCCUUCAAAGUCCAGGGCAAGUAUCCCUUUUACCAUGAAUACUUUUCCAACUUCUCAGAGAAAAAAUUGUGUUUCUCUCCUUAAGACACCUCCCACUUGUUGGUAUCAGUCUUAGGUAACUAUUAUACAGUGCUAGCAAUUUGUCCAUGUAUCUUGUCUCUUUUCACCUCCUCUGACACACCCUGGGAUAGACAAGCAAAAUGAUUAGUUGCUCACUUAAUUGAUGUGACCUUGAAAAUACCCAUGAAGUGUCCAGUGGUAUUUUGACACUAUUCAUUUAUGAAUGACCUACUUAAAGUAAAGUCAAGGACAUUUUAAAGUGUCCAAGGAACAGCUACAUCUGUUUCCCAAGCUCUUUCCAGCUCUGACCCUGGCAUGCAUCCUACUACACCUCCUUCUGACCAAGGGCAUGCAUUUGUGUAGUCUGUAGCCAUGGAAGGACUGAGGAGAUCAGCUAAUAUUGGAAUAUUGGGCUGAAAAGUGCUGUGUAGAAGCCAAAUGAACUAACCAAGCCUAAGUAACAAGGGUUUCUAAUAUGGUCAAUAAACAAAAACACCUACUUAAAUCCCAAAGUAGAACAAUUUAGGGACAUAUAAAAAUCUCUUCAGCUCUUAGAUUUUAUUUAAUACAAGCAAAGUAAAAACACACAUGCUUCAAUAUGAAUUAGCUCAGCAUCAUGUCCCAAGUAUGAAGUGCCCCUACAAAUGCUCUUUGGCUUAAUUUGCUUACCUGAAACCGGAUAUAAGACAAAAUCUAGAUUUCCUUUUUUCAAAAUGUUGCAGAAGAUGUUGCAAACCCAAGUGGCCCUAAAUAGGACACUUGCUGAGUUUAGGCUGUCUGGGUACCUUUUAGGCCAUGUGGGCUGGGUGGUCAAAGUGAUAAGUGAAGGAGAAAGAACCAAGGUACACUGGUGGCCACAGAGAAGAUGAUGUUCUCAGAGCUGUGUGCAUGUUCCUUGGGGAUGGUGAGCUAUAAACAAGGCAGUCAAAGAGAGGAAGGACUAGUUUUGACCUAAAGAAAUAGAGAAAUAUGCUCAGAGGUCACCUUAGGUAGGCUCGCAUUGCUGCAGAAGAGGGCAUGGUCUAGGGUGUAGGAAGAGAUGAGAGAAAUUAGGUAGUCAAGUCAAAGGAAAGAAUUAGAAUGGACACUUGAUUACUUUAGUUGCAUUGAGCAACAAGCAAUAAUAAACCUCAAAACAAACACAAUCACAUUUAACCCAGCAUAGUCCCCUUUCAUUGAUGAUCAUUAACAAAAGUAUAUGGAGGGAUACGUGAACUAAACACAUAUGUUGAAAUGUAAGCAGAUAUCCCUGUUCUUUAGAAACAUGGGAUUUCAUUUGAAGCUUUGACCAUAAUAUAGCAUUUGCAUUUUUGUAAAAUCAAACAGGAGAUUUAUAUGAAAUACCUUAUUCUGUGCCCAAAAGUUACAGCUAUUAACAGGUGGGUUUACUUCCAGACAGUUCCAGUGUGUAAGCAAAUACAUAUAUGCAUACACCUUUUGUAAGCAAAUAGAACCAUACUACACAUAUUGUUCUUCAACUUUUAUACUUUUAAAAUAGUGGAGGGGCACCUGGGUGGCUCAGUCAGUUAAGCGUCCGACUUCGGCUCAGGUCAUGAUCUCACUCUUUGUGAGUUCGAGCCCCACGCCUCGCUCUGGGCUGAUGGCUCGGAGCCUGGAGACUGCUUUGGGUUCUGUGUCUCCCCUCUCUCUGCUCCUCCCCCACUCAUGCUGUCUCUAUCUCUCUUUCAAAAAUAAAUAAACGCUAAAAAAAUAAAAAUAAAAUAAAAUAGUGGAGACAGGGAUGCCUGGCUGGUCAAUUGGUGGAGCAUGUGACUCUUGAUUUUAGGGUCGUGGGUUCUAGCCCCAUAUUGGGUAUAGGGAUUAGUUAAAAAAUAAAAUCUUUAAAAAAAAAUUUUUUUUAAUGUUUAUUUACUUUUGAGAGAGACAGAGCAUGAGCAGGGGAAGGGCAGAAAGAAGGAGACUCAGAAUCUAAAGCAGGCUCCAGGCUCUGAGCUGUCAGCACAUAGCCUGAUGCAGGGCUUGAACUCACAAAUGGUGAGAUCAUGACCUGAGCUGAAGUCAGAUGCCCAGCUGACUGAGCCACCUAGGCGCCCCAAAAUAUAAAAUCUUAAAAAAAAUAAAUCACUGGAGACAACUUUGUAUGCUCGUACAUAACAGUUUUGAUCUCAUAAAAAAAAUGAUAGAAUGGCAUUAUUUUGAAUGAAUGUGGCAUAAUUUAUCUAAUUGCACAUUGAGGUAGUGCUUUUUCCAGGUUUUCCUUUCUUUUGAAAAUUAGGAAAACAAUUACAAUACGUAUGCUCUUUUCAGCGAUAUCCAUCAAGAACCACAACAAAAAUGAUCAGGUCUUCAUUCCCAUUAAAAGUUUUCUUUUUCGGGGCGCCUGGGUGGCGCAGUCGGUUAAGCGUCCGACUUCAGCCAGGUCACCAUCUCGUGGUCCGUGAGUUCGAGCCCUGCGUCGGGCUCUGGGCUGAUGGCUCAGAGCCUGGAGCCUGUUUCUGAUUCUGUGUCUCCCUCUCUCUCUGCCCCUCCCCCAUUCGUGCUCUGUCUCUCUCUGUCCCAAAAAUAAAUAAACGUUGAAAAAAAAAAAAGUUUUCUUUUUCUUUUUGCGAAUAAAAAAUAAAAAAAUAAAACAAAUCUUGCAUUUGAAAGACGUUGAGAGUAUGUCUAAAGUAAACAUUAGUAGCUGUAAAUAAAU